UGCAACACUACAAAAAUAAGCUGCAAAAAAAUAUAAAUGAAAAAAAAACAUAAACAAAAUAUGUUUGCAAUUGCGUAGUACGAUUACAAAAUCAAAGACUAUAUUCGUGCCAUAGACGGAAUAUAAGCUACUAGGAAAAGUGUUCUGCCUGGUGGUGGCAAUGACGACGAUCCUGAGUAAAGUAAAUUCGAUGAAGCUAUUGUUGAAGGUGCUGGAAAAAGUUAUUCCAUUGUUUGGCCAUGCAAUGUAACCUGAAAAAUUUCUAAAUUGGUGAUUAUUUACAAUUAAAGCAAAAAUCUGAAAAGAGUCUCAAAGAGCCUUAGUUUAUGGAACUCUGGUUGAAUGUUUUGGUACUUUAAAUUUCGAUACAUUCUGUACCUUAAUAAUUGAAAAUGUUUCUGAUCAAUUUUAUCAUGCACUUCAAAAUGCUGUUUUCAGUUGUAUUGUGAAAAAAUAUUAUUUGUAUCUUAUACACAUAUUUUAUUGGUUUUGUCUCCAUUAAACAAAUACUUGCCGUUGCCAUUCAAGUUUUGUGUAAAAAAGAGUUCGUUGAUAAGGGUACCUACGACAAUGCCAUUCAUUGGUUUGCUAAGAGAAUCCAUGAGAAUUCCCUUGACAAAUUUGGAGAGAUAGAUAAUUCGAGUCCAGAUAUUUUGUAGUUUUUGCAAACUACAUAAGAAUUUUGAGUUUUUUAAAAAAAGAAAGGCUGAGUUUUUAAAAGUAGUUCGAAGGCAGUUCUAAAAUCUAUUUUUUGGGAAGUUUGGCACAUUUAUAAUUUAAGAUUCUUGAAAGGCAAAAAGAUAAUGCAAACAUUUCAAUUUAAUCAUUAUGAAAUUUUAUUUUCGUCCCAGCAAACAAAAAAUUGUACUUUUAAUUAAUUUGAGCAAUUCUUCAAAAUCAACCAACCACUUUUUGUAAAUAAAUAAAACUUUGUUGUUAGAAAUAUAAAA